rnacentral:rRNA from 1 species
UAGCGGCGAAAUCCAUGAUCCUAUGCUGCCGAGAAAAGCCUCUAGCGAGCUGGUACAUGGCCCGUACCCCAAACCGACACAGGUGGUCAGGUAGAGAAUACUAAGGCGAUCGAGAGAACUGUGGUUAAGGAACUCGGCAAAAUGCCCCCGUAACUUCGGGAGAAGGGGGACCAGUCCUGGUGACGACAUUUACUGUCUGAGCUGGGGUUGGUCGCAGAGACCAGAGAGAAGCGACUGUUUACUAAAAACACAGGUCCGUGCGAAGUCGUAAGACGAUGUAUACGGACUGACGCCUGCCCGGUGCUGGAAGGUUAAGAGGACCGGUCAGCCACUUCGGUGGCGAAGCUGAGAAUUUAAGCCCCAGUAAACGGCGGUGGUAACUAUAACCAUCCUAAGGUAGCGAAAUUCCUUGUCGGGUAAGUUCCGACCUGCACGAAUGGCGUAACGACUUCUCUGCUGUCUCAACCACAGACUCGGCGAAAUUGCAGUAGUAAAGAUGCUCGUUACGCGCGGCAGGACGAAAAGACCCCGGGACCUUCACUAUAGCUUGGUAUUGGUGUUCGGUUCGGUUUGUGUAGGAUAGGUGGGAGACUGUGAAACUCGCACGCCAGUGUGGGUGGAGUCAUUGUUGAAAUACCACUCUGACCGUAUUGGACAUCUAACCUCGGACCAUGAUCUGGUUCAGGGACAGUGCCUGGUGGGUAGUUUAACUGGGGCGGUUGCCUCCUAAAAAGUAACGGAGGCGCCCAAAGGUUCCCUCAGCCUGGUUGGCAAUCAGGUGUUGAGUGUAAGUGCACAAGGGAGCUUGACUGUGAGACGUACAUGUCGAGCAGGGACGAAAGUCGGGACUAGUGAUCCGGCACCGGCAAGUGGAAGCGGUGUCGCUCAACGGAUAAAAGGUACCCCGGGGAUAACAGGCUGAUCUCCCCCAAGAGUCCAUAUCGACGGGAUGGUUUGGCACCUCGAUGUCGGCUCGUCGCAUCCUGGGGCUGGAGUAGGUCCCAAGGGUUGGGCUGUUCGCCCAUUAAAGCGGCACGCGAGCUGGGUUUAGAACGUCGUGAGACAGUUCGGUCUCUAUCCGCCGCGCGCGUAAGAAACUUGAGGAAACCUGUCCCUAGUACGAGAGGACCGGGACGGACGAACCUCUGGUGUGCCAGUUGUUCCACCAGGAGCACCGCUGGUUAGCUACGUUCGGAAGGGAUAACCGCUGAAAGCAUCUAAGCGGGAAGCCUGUUCCAAGAUGAGGUUUCUCACCACCUAGCGUGGUUAAGGCCCCCCACAGACCAUGGGGUUGAUAGGCCAGAACUGUAAGCACAGCAAUGUGUUCAGGUGACUGGUACUAAUCGGCCGAGGACUUACC